AUGGACAUGAGGGCCCCUGCUCAGCUCCUUGGGCUCCUUUUGCUCUGUCUUCCAGGUGCCAGAUGUGACAUCCAGAUGACCCAGUCUCCAUCUUCCAUGUCUGCCUUUCUGGGAGACAGAGUCACCAUCACUUGCAGGGCAAGUCAGGGUAUUAGUGGUUAUUUAGAAUGGCAUCAGCAGAAACCAGGGAAAGCUCCUAAGCGCCUGAUCUAUGAUGCAUCCACCUUGGCAGAUGGGGUCCCAUCGAGGUUCAGUGGCAGUGGGUCAGGGACAGAUUAUUCUUUCACCAUCAGCACCCUGGAGUCUGAAGAUAUUGCCACUUAUUACUGUCUACAGUAUGCUCAGCUUCCUCCCACAGUGAUACAAGUCAUAACAUAA